rnacentral:rRNA from 1 species
GACGAACGCUGGCGGCGUGCUUAACACAUGCAAGUGGAGCGACGAACCGGGGCUUGCCCCGGGCAGAGCCGCGAACGGGUGAGUAACACGUGGGUAACCUGCCUCAAUGAUUGGGACAACCCGGGAAACUCGGGCUAAUACCAAAUGUGUUCACUCCUUCUAAGGGGAGUGAGGAAAGGAAGCUUCGGCCUCCGCAUUGAGAUGGGCCCGCGGCCAUUAGCUUGUUGGUGAGGUAACGGCUCACCAAGGCUUCGAUGGGUAGCUGGUCUGAGAGGACGAUCAGCCACACUGGGACUGAGACACGGCCCAGACUCCUACGGGAGGCAGCAGUGGGAAUCUUGCACAAUGCGCGAAAGCGUGAUGCAGCAACGCCGCGUGGGGGAA